rnacentral:rRNA from 1 species
UACAGAGGGGGCAAGCGUUGCUCGGAAUCAUUGGGCGUAAAGCGCACGUAGGCGGUCCGACAAGUCGGGUGUGAAAGCCCUCGGCUUAACCGAGGAAGUGCAUUCGAAACUAUCGGACUUGAAUACUGGAGAGGGUUGCGGAAUUCCCGGUGUAGAGGUGAAAUUCGUAGAUAUCGGGAGGAACACCAGUGGCGAAGGCGGCAACCUGGACAGAUAUUGACGCUGAGGUGCGAAAGCGUGGGGAGCAAACAGG